CGGCCCCGCUCUGUUCCGCUUCUUGAAGGAUGUACAAGCUGCGGUACGCGAUCCCUGUGGUCUGUAAGCGUUGAGGAUAUUCUGCUCCGCGGGUAUUUGCAUCUCGGAGUUAGGCAGUCGCAGUCGCUUCUUAGCGGGAAGUGUAUCGGGUUCACCGCUGCUCGGAGCGGUCCUUUGUUUUCCACUGGAGCGGAAGGAGAGUGCUGCCAUGACGGCCCCUGCUCAGCCCAAGAAAAUCGUGGCCCCUACGGUGUCCCAGAUCAACGCGGAGUUCGUGACCCAGUUAGCUUGUAAAUACUGGGCUCCCCAUAUCAAGAAAAAAUCACCUUUUGACAUAAAGGUGAUUGAAGAUAUAUAUGAGAAAGAAAUUGUCAAAUCAAGGUUUGCCAUCAGAAAGAUAAUGCUCUUGGAAUUUAGCCAGUAUCUUGAAAAUUACCUCUGGAUGAAUUAUUCUCCAGAAGUGUCCAGCAAAGCCUAUUUAAUGUCAAUCUGCUGUAUGGUGAAUGAGAAGUUCAGAGAAAAUGUCCCUGCAUGGGAGACUUUUAAGAAGAAGCCAGAUGACUUCCCAUUCUUUUUCAAGUGUAUCUUGAAAGCGGCAUUAGCUGAAACUGAUGGUGAAUUUUCACUCCAUGAACAGACAGUCUUACUGCUUUUUCUUGAUCAUUGCUUCAAUAGUUUGGAAGUAGACUUGAUACGGAGUCAAGUGCAGCAGCUUAUCUCCCUUCCAAUGUGGAUGGGCUUACAGCCUGCACGAUUGGAAUUAGAAUUAAAAAAGACACCUAAACUAAGAAAAUUCUGGAACUUGAUUAAAAAGAAUGAUGAAAAGAUGGAUCCAGAAGCAAGAGAACAAGCCUAUCAAGAAAGAAGAUUUCUUUCACAGCUCAUCCAGAAGUUUAUCUCUGUGCUGAAAUCAGUUCCACUUUCUGAACCUGUCACUAUGGACAAAGUUCAUUAUUGUGAAAGAUUUAUUGAACUUAUGAUUGAUCUAGAGGCCCUACUCCCCACAAGACGCUGGUUUAACACCAUCCUGGAUGACUCCCACCUUUUGGUUCACUGUUACCUUUCCAAUCUUGUUCGUAGAGAAGAGGAUGGCCAUCUUUUUUCCCAGCUUUUGGACAUGCUUAAGUUCUAUACUGGUUUUGAGAUUAAUGAUCAGACUGGAAAUGCUCUGACAGAGAAUGAGAUGACUACGAUUCACUAUGAUAGAAUUACUUCUCUACAGAGAGCUGCUUUUGCACAUUUCCCUGAACUCUAUGAUUUUGCCCUCUCAAAUGUCGCAGAAGUAGAUACUCGGGAAUCCUUGAUCAAGUUUUUUGGACCUCUUAGUUCAAAUACACUCCACCAGGUGGCAUCAUACCUCUGCUUGUUACCAACUCUUCCUAAAGGUGAAGACACGACUUUUGAUAAAGAAUUUCUUCUAGAAUUGUUGGUAUCUCGUCAUGAGCGUCGAAUUUCUCAGAUUCAGCAGUUGAACCAGAUGCCUUUGUAUCCAACCGAGAAAAUCAUAUGGGAUGAAAAUAUUGUCCCAACUGAGUACUAUUCUGGGGAAGGUUGUCUUGCUCUUCCCAAGUUGAAUUUGCAGUUUUUGACUCUUCAUGAUUACCUCCUAAGGAACUUUAAUCUCUUCCGCUUAGAAUCAACUUAUGAAAUUAGGCAGGACAUCGAGGAUAGUGUCAGCAGAAUGAAGCCAUGGCAGUCUGAGUAUGGCGGGGUGGUAUUCGGUGGCUGGGCGCGAAUGGCCCAGCCCAUCGUGGCGUUCACCGUGGUGGAGGUUGCCAAACCCAGCAUAGGCGAGAACUGGCCAACCCGGGUUCGCGCAGAUGUCAGCAUCCAUCUGAACGUCAGAGACCACAUCAGAGAUGAGUGGGAAGGACUUCGGAAGCAUGAUGUAUGCUUUUUAAUUACUGUACGUCCCACAAAACCUUAUGGUACCAAGUUUGACCGGAGGAGACCUUUUGUUGAGCAGGUUGGCCUGGUUUAUGUCAGAGGCUGUGAGGUCCAGGGCAUGCUGGACGAUAAAGGGCGUGUCAUUGAAGACGGACCUGAACCCAGACCCAAUCUUAGAGGAGAAUCAAGGACAUUUAGAGUGUUUUUGGAUCCAAACCAGUAUCAACAAGAUAUGACCAAUACGAUACAAAAUGGAGCAGAAGAUGUGUAUGAAACUUUCAAUAUAAUAAUGAGGAGAAAACCGAAGGAAAAUAACUUUAAGGCUGUGCUGGAGACUAUUCGGAACCUGAUGAAUACUGAUUGUGUGGUACCUGACUGGCUGCAUGACAUCAUUUUAGGUUAUGGGGAUCCAAGUAGUGCACAUUAUUCCAAAAUGCCCAAUCAGAUCGCCACCCUUGAUUUCAAUGAUACAUUUUUCUCCAUUGAGCAUUUAAAAACCAGCUUUCCUGGUCAUAAUGUUAAAGUAACUGUGGAUGACCCAGCUCUACAGAUACCCCCUUUCAGGAUAACUUUUCCAGUAAGAAAUGGAAAGGGGAAGAAAAGGAAAGAUGCAGAGAAGGAAGAUGAAGACACUGAAGAGGCAAAAACCUUAAUUGUUGAACCUCAUGUUAUUCCUAAUAGAGGUCCUUAUCCUUACAACCAGCCCAAACGGAAUACAAUUCAGUUCACUCAUACACAGAUAGAGGCCAUCCGUGCUGGAAUGCAGCCUGGGCUAACUAUGGUUGUGGGCCCACCAGGUACAGGAAAAACAGAUGUGGCAGUCCAAAUCAUAUCCAACAUCUACCACAAUUUCCCAGAGCAGAGGACUCUGAUUGUUACUCAUUCCAAUCAGGCCCUGAACCAGUUGUUUGAGAAAAUCAUGGCUUUAGACAUUGAUGAGCGUCACCUCCUGCGUCUUGGUCAUGGAGAAGAAGAGCUGGAGACGGAGAAAGAUUUCAGCAGGUAUGGAAGAGUUAAUUAUGUCCUAGCUCGAAGAAUAGAACUUUUAGAAGAAGUCAAACGAUUGCAGAAGAGUCUAGGGGUUCCAGGAGAUGCGUCAUAUACUUGUGAAACUGCAGGCUAUUUCUUCUUAUAUCAGGUAAUGUCUCGUUGGGAAGAGUAUAUCAGCAAAGUGAAAAAUAAAGGUAACACGUUGCCAGAUGUUACUGAAGUCUCCACUUUCUUCCCUUUUCAUGAGUACUUUGCAAAUGCCCCUCAACCCAUUUUUAAAGGCCGAUCUUAUGAAGAAGACAUGGAAAUUGCUGAAGGAUGUUUCAGGCAUAUUAAGAAAAUCUUUACUCAGCUUGAGGAGUUUAGAGCCUCCGAACUGCUUCGAAGUGGACUAGACAGAUCUAAAUACCUUUUGGUGAAAGAAGCCAAAAUCAUUGCUAUGACCUGUACUCAUGCUGCCUUAAAACGACAUGAUUUAGUCAAGUUAGGCUUCAAGUAUGACAACAUUUUAAUGGAAGAGGCUGCUCAGAUUCUGGAGAUAGAAACUUUUAUACCUCUUCUUCUACAGAAUCCUCAGGAUGGUUUUAGCCGACUAAAACGUUGGAUUAUGAUUGGUGAUCAUCACCAGUUACCUCCAGUCAUUAAGAACAUGGCCUUUCAGAAGUAUUCAAACAUGGAGCAAUCUCUCUUCACUCGCUUUGUCAGAGUUGGAGUUCCUACUGUGGACCUCGAUGCCCAAGGGAGGGCCAGAGCAAGCUUGUGCAACCUCUACAACUGGCGAUACAAGAAUCUAGGAAACUUACCCCAUGUGCAGCUCUUGCCGGAGUUUAGUACAGCAAAUGCUGGCUUGCUUUAUGACUUCCAGCUCAUUAAUGUUGAAGAUUUUCAGGGAGUUGGAGAAUCUGAGCCUAAUCCUUACUUUUAUCAGAAUCUUGGAGAGGCAGAAUACGUAGUGGCACUUUUUAUGUACAUGUGCUUACUUGGUUACCCUGCUGACAAGAUUAGCAUUCUAACAACAUAUAAUGGACAAAAGCAUCUUAUUCGUGACAUCAUCAAUAGACGAUGCGGGAGCAAUCCAUUGAUUGGAAGACCAAAUAAGGUGACAACCGUUGACAGAUUUCAAGGUCAACAGAAUGAUUAUAUUCUUCUUUCUCUAGUACGAACCAGGGCAGUGGGCCAUCUGAGGGAUGUCCGUCGCUUAGUGGUGGCCAUGUCUAGAGCCAGACUUGGACUUUAUAUCUUCGCCAGAGUAUCCCUCUUCCAAAACUGUUUUGAACUAACUCCAGCUUUCAGCCAGCUCACAGCCCGCCCACUUCAUUUGCAUAUAAUUCCAACAGAACCUUUCCCAACCAGUAGAAAGAAUGGAGAGAGACCAUCUCAUGAAGUACAGAUAAUAAAGAAUAUGCCCCAGAUGGCAAACUUUGUAUACAACAUGUAUAUGCAUUUGAUACAGACCACACAUCAUUAUCAUCAGACUUUAUUACAGCUACCACCUGCUAUGCUAGAAGAAGGUGAAGAAGUUCAAAGUCAGGAAACAGAAUUGGAAACAGAAGAAGAGGCCACGCCUGCUCAAGCUGACAUUGUACCUAGUCUAACAGAUGCCAGCUCCAGUCAAGAAACCUCAGCCUCUCAGACUGAGACCAUCCCCAGUCACACAGGAGACAGUUCCAGUUCAGAGGCCAUCCCUACUGAAUCCGAGAUCACUGCUACUGUGGCAGAACCUGUAGCUGUACCAGCGGAGAAUAACACCCCUCAAGAUGCCACAUCCGCCCCCAGAGAAACCAAGUAGCCAAACUGUAGCCCUUCUUAGGGAGGACAUUUCAUUUAUAAAGUCUAGGUAAAGUUACCUUUUGUAUUUUACAUAUUCUUCUGCCAAUUUAAUGGUCCUUAUUUUUGUUAGCUGAUCUCAAUGUUUGUCUUCUGGUAUAUAUGAAAAAAGAAUGUGUGUGAACAACUCCAACUUUAUUUGUUCAGUCAGAAGAAUAAAUAACCAUUCCUUUGAUAUUUUGAUUAUUAAAUAACUAUAUCUAUAAUCAUACCUACAUUAGAAGAAUUUUCUACAGAGUAAUAGUUCACAUUUUUAGUGAACUUCGCUAAAGAAAAGGACAAAAUAUACUGGAAUUAACUACAAAUGACUUCAAGCAAGUGUCCAAAUUGGGGAGGAAAUCAUUUCUUCUACCAUAAUGUAAGAUGCUCAAGUCAUGUUUCUUUCUAUCCCUCCUUUCUUUGCUGUCUUCCUUGAUGGAAAGGCGUCAACACCAUAGGAUAUAAGUUGCUCCGAUCCAUUAAAGAAGACAUGCAUUUCCUUCCCCCAAAUCUCAGAAUGUGUAAAAUCACCUAGAAUGUCUCUUUAUUUUGGGGGCCACUCCAGGCCUAAUGAAUCAGAAUCUCAGGGUUAGAGCCUAGGAACCUGCAUUUUUAUUUUUGCAGGUGCUACACAAUUAAUGUUUGAGUUGCUGGCCGAAUGAUAUCAGAUAAGGCUGGUGAGGCUGGGCCAAGAUUUGUCAUUCAUCUAAGCAAGAAGGAUCUGGCAGAUCCAUUUGGGCAGGAACAAAGGUCCAGGGUCCGGGCAGUGAAAAUCAGUGAACUUAAUUAAUUCCUGUAUUCAGGAUGGAUUUCUUCCAAUGCAGAGCUUCUGAGUUUUCUGCCCUGUUUAGUUCUCUUGAUAGAUAACCAGCCAUAAGGAGACCUUAAGGUAAAAUGUGCUCCAGAUUUGGGAAGGCAUCUGUACUAGGACCUUGCUACUCAGGUGUGGUUUGCAAAUCAGCAGCAUCAGUGUUGCAUUGAAAUUUGCUAGAAAUGCAAAAGUUUGGGCUGUACCCCAGAUCUGUUAAAUCUCAAUCCGCAUUACAGCAAAGUCCCCAGGUGAUUCAAAUGCACUUUGUAGUUUUAGGAGCGCUGUACUGAGAUUACUGUGCCAUCCUCACAUCAGUGAGAGGUUGAAUGGUGAUCCUAUGAUGGUAGAGUUUACAGUGAGUAUGACUGUUUUCUGACAAUGGACCUCUGCUUAUAAGGUCCCUGGGCAUGGUGACCAGAGAAGAGAUGAAUGUAUGUAUGUGGGAAGGGUCAACUUGUCCACUAGUUCUCUUCCGCAUUCCCACAUCUGCUAGAGUUGCUAAGGGGAGCAUUUCCCCAAAUCUAGUGCAUCUACCUUUAGGCUUGACCGUGGCCAACGAACUUUUGAAGAAUUAAGCAAGCACUGCACACUGCCAGUGACCAGACCAGUGCUUCUCAUCUUGAUAUUUUGAAGCAAUGAUGAAUUCAUAAGGAAAUUAAACCCAGAACGUCAAGUCAAUGAUGUUUUUGAGUGACUAAUGUUUGCUUAAGUUUACCAGUCUAUGGUGGGUAAAAUUUAGACUCCUGUCUUACAGUGCUUCUUGCAGCAUCAACAAUUGUGUCGGGUGGGGAAGGGGACGAUGAAAGUGAUGGGAUAACAAGGGGAGUGAAAUGCCAAGGAAACGAAUGUAGGAAGCCUAGGUCUGUUUGUUAUCAGAGUUAGGAUGGAGCCAAAUGGUCUGUUACAUAAUUUCUCUGAGUAUAAGAAUUUGAAAGCAGGUGUCAUGGGCAUCUGUAUGAGGACUUGCACUCAGAAUUAUGUUCAUCUGUGAAUAUAUAGUAUCAGGCUAAGCAAGAGGGAAAGAAGCUUUACCAUAUUACUGUCUUUCCUGGAAAAGAUUGAUUUUUCCCUCUGCCCUUUGGAGGAAAUGACUCUGAGACCUGCAACCAAAGUAAAGCAAAACUGUUGUGCUGCUUUCUCCUUAAAUAAACCAUUUUCCUAACACUGUAUGUCACUCUGUCUAGCUGGGUGGCUGAACGUUUUUCUCUGCUGCUUGGUUUUCUAUCACACUGAAAAGAAAAUUUUAACUGGAAGAUGAAUAACUCCUUUGCCUCUGUCAAAUUAAGAAAGGGAUGAUGAAAGUGGGACUUGCAUUAUUUUAAAUUGUUUAUUCACUGGAAAGGCCAGUGAACUGCAAUUGACUAUAGAAUUGUGGAAUUUUUAAAGGAACUUAAGAGAUCUUUUCUAAACUUAAAUAAUGAGGAAACUGAAUCAGAUGGUCGUAACCAGGGUGGCAACUGUGGGAGACUGGGGUAGAAUCCAAUCUAUAGUCCAGGGCAGUUUUGUGCCUUUUUUUUUUAAUCAACCACACAUGAGUAAUUGCUUCAUAAAUUCAAAAUUUUUCCAUUUAAUUUGGGAUUACUACAGACACAGGUAUUCUACCCAGGUGACCAUUUCAGAUUAGUGUUCCCAUUGCUCUCCAUCCUGUUUUUCAUAUCCGAAUAUGUCGUGAUUUUGGAGUUUAUUUUUAAAAGCAGACCAAAAAGUCACAUGCCAAGAGAAAGAGCAUGAAAUGAAGCAAUUCAAGUAUUUAGCCUUUUUUUCACAAAAUGCUGAGUUAAGAAAGUACAUUACCAGCAGUUGGGAAUAAAUAGCUCUAUUGAUUUGGGCAAAUGAAUGAGAAGAUCUAAAUAUUAUCAGGUCUCUUGAAGUUAGUGCGAUGAUAAAAGUUGAUAUUUUGCUAGAUACUGAGAGAAAUGGUAUACAUGGGCCAUUUGUGCUCCUAUAAAAAAUGAAGUUUUUAUUAUCAGGGGACAACAUGAUAUUGUAAAACAGACUUUGGACUCAUCCAGACCUGACUCAAAUUGUACGUAAUUUGCUCAUCAGCAUUUGGUUUGACCUUGACAGGUGUUAUAACCUCUGUAAGUCACAGUUUUAUCUACAAAAUGGGGAAAAGAUCUGUUUGUUUGUUAAUGGGGUAAUGUUUAUGAAAACAUCUGGCACCUGGUUGCUUGGUAAAUACCAGUCCCACCCUCUGCAUUUUCCCCCAAAUCUUUGAGACAGUGUAGGAUAUUGCCAGCCAGUCCUCUGACUUGGGUGCGUAGCUAUGCCCCUAUCCAGGGAGUAUGGAGGAGGAUUAAGAAGGGAACACGUGGUGGCAGUUGACCUUUGAAGAUCAAGGGUCAAAUUUACUGAUUGGAAACCUCGAAAUCAGCCUAUGGCAGCAUUGAGGAUGGUCUCUGCUGAAAUUAAAAUUUCUAGCAGAACAGCAUACCCAGAUGGAGAUAGUAGGUACCAUUGUGCUUGGAUAUAUUGGUAACAUCAAUUCUGUAUCCUGUACUCCCCCACCCCGAGAUCAUCUAUAUUGUUGCACUUACCUAGCUUGACUGUGCUUUUUCCUUUUUAUCUUGUACUCACAUGGUAUUUUAGAGGUGUUUCUUCAAUUAAAAUAAGAUAAAAAAGAUUUUUUAAAGAACGCUGACCCUUUUGCAUGCACCAGAAGAGCAGUUAAAAACAAGCAGUGCCUUGCUUCCUGUGAAAAAUGCUUGGCAGUUAGCCUUUGUAAUUAUGAAGCAAUCAUGUUAAUAGAUGUUUAAGAAUAAUACAACUGGAGCUGAACAGAGCCAAGGAUGGAAAUGAGCACAUGAGACCAUUUUUUCUUUAUCCAUUGCUAUUCUUCAGUGCCCGAGAAGGGGUUUUAAUUCAGCGGUAACCAGAAGCUUUGGACAAUUUUUUUCUUCAUAGGGACAACCCUGAGCUCAGUCCCCUGGAGCAUGACUCAGAAUGCAGCACAGUUACUGCUGGCUGCCACCUUUAUUGCCAGCUCUACCUUUUGGCUUACACUUACUUCAUUAGCUACUUAAACUUCUGCACUUACAUAUAAAAGAUGGCUAAUCCCAGUAUUUCUCAACAUAUGUUACAAAACCACCCGUCUUCAAAAAUACUUUGAAAAACAUGUUCCAUGGUCAAAUAAGUUUGAGGAACACAAUUAAUUAUCAUUCCCCAUUUGCAGAAUAACAAUGCAUUGUUAGCUAAUUAAAGGUUCUUUCCUGCAGGAAAAAAUCAUGUUAACUUUGUUUAAUCUAGCAUUUGAUUAUCGCAAGCUUAUUUGACCAUAGAACUCUUUCUUUUUCUUUUUUUUUUUUUUUAAAUAAGACAUUCUAAAGAACUAGUUCCUCAGAACAGUUUGGGAGCCAGUAUUUUUACAUUAGCAAGUGAACUUUGAUUCCCCCUUAGAAAAUUAAGGGGAUAAGAAUAUACCAGCCCCAAUAUGCUACUUUGUCAUAAGGAUUAUUUUGAGCUGAAGGCAGUUGACAAACAGCAGAUGCAGAAAGUAUUCUCUGUCCUUGUGCUUCUGCCUAAAAGCAGGGCAUAAAUUUCCCUUUGUAAAGAUGACAUAAAUUUCCAUUUGUAAAGGUAUCCCCUCUCUCCUGUACCAGGAAGAAGACAACAACCCUUAUCACGGGACACAGAGAUGAUGCUGUGAAAUGAGUCUGCAUAAACAAACCUUACUAAAAUGACCCUUAUCUUCCAUUAAUUUCCCCGUGUAUUUACUUGCCCACAAUCUACCACCCCUAAAAGCCCAAACUCCCCCCCCUUAUUUUUUUGUCUAUUGACUUCUCCAUAAUUUAUUGUCCUUUGUUAAAAUGAUAUAUAAACUUCAAAGCCUAACAGCUUUUGGGGGGAGUUUUUACUUCUCUGUGUAGCCCCCCUGGAAGUAAAGUUAAAAACAUCAAUUAAAUUUGCAUGCUGUUUCUCCUAUUAAUUUGUCUUUUGACAGUUUAAUUCACAGGCCCCAGGUACAGACCUAAGAAGGUAAAGUCUUCCCUCCCCUACAAAAAUAAGACUUUAAUACAUCGUUUUUCCAUUAAGUAACCAGAGGCUAAAGUAGCACAGCUGAAGAAGAACGUAGAGGCGAAGUGAUUUGGACAAAAUGUCAUAUUAUAGUGUAAUUAACUGUUGAGUGUCACAUGGUAUUAAUAGCAACAUCCUGAAAAUACAAAUGAAUAAAAGUUUGAUCAAUGUACCAUGACAUUCAUUCGUGUGAGCCUUCUAAGAAAAGGUCACUGAGCAUUCUCUGUUUACAUUUUAAUUUUAGAGUCCAGGAUUUCACACUAACCUUUUCUCAUUUCUUACUGUGCAGUAGAAGGACAGUCCGUAUUUCCAGUGUGUCUUGUUUUCUCAGUUCUCUAAAUGUUUGUUUUCUUUAAAAGUCUGUUUCAAAAGGGGAAAAGAUUUAGCAUGGUAAAUAGGGGUGGACAAGAAAUAAUAGAAGAAAAUUUAGGCAAAUAUGAAGAAAUUUUCCUUAAAGAAGAGUGUAAGAGAAAGGACCCCAAAAGUUACCUUGCAUAGGACAUGUUGAAUUGUCUCUUGGUUGAUCUCCAGAGAUAAUCGUCCCCACCAUCCUCUUUCUCUCUAUCUUUGACUUACGUCGUACAUUCACCCAACACUCUUCUUGCAGUAAAUCUAAGUGCAAGAACCUCAAUGGUAACUGCUGCUCCUUGGGAGAUACCUUGUUUAAUAUAAAUGGCUCUUUUGAGAAACUGAUUUUAUUGACCUUUUUAAAAAAGUCAAGAGUUCUUGAUAGGAAGUGGUCGUAUAAAAUACCUUUUUCUACUCUCAUUCAUUGGUUCAUUUUGAGGGGAGUUUUCUUCUGGUUUUUAGUUCAGUUAUUUACAAUAAAUGUGGUUACUGUAUUAUGGUAUUUUCAUUACCCAUUUUCUUCUAGUAGCACUUUCCAGUGCUGAUUUCUUCUAAUCCCAGACUUCCCCAAGAAUAGUAGUGGAACAAGAAUAGAGCUAGUUAAUUUGCAUUUUAUUUUGCUGGUUGACUACUUUUCACAGAAGUGAAUUGAAUUAAAAAUAGUAAAAAGUUGGGGCUUCCCUGGUGGCACAGUGGUUGGGAGUCCGCCUGCCGAUGCACGGGACACGGGUUCGUGCCCCGGUCCGGGAGGAUCCCACAUGCUGCGGAGCGGCUGGGCCUGUGAGCCAUGGCUGCUGAGCUUGCGAGUCCAGAGCCUGUGCUCUGCAAUGGGAGAGGCCACUACAGUGAGAGGCCCGUGUACUGCAAAAAAAAAAAAAAAAAAUAGUAAAGAGUUGGAAGGUGUCUUUGAAACUAUCUAAUUCUUGUGCAUUCAUAGACUGAGUACCUACUGUAUGUCAGGCAACAAUGCCAUAGUUCAUAGGUGAGAACACUGAGGCAUUGGAUGGUUUGCCUAGGACACUAUGGUUAGUUGAACUGGGACCAGAACCACCAUCUGACAUUCAGGCAAAUUCCUUACCUUGCUGUUCUUUAAACUUAUUUGCUUGAAACAAAUCCAAGUAGAAGGAGCAACACUUAAUAUUUCACAGAUGAGCAAGGCAAGCCUACUAAAGAAUUCCUCUCAGGUUUAGAAUACCAGAGAGGAGACCAGGUUGCCAAAAUCAGGAUAGGAAAUAAGAGGUCUAUGAAAGAAUAUGCUUUAAUGUUACAGUGCUUAUACUUACAGGUGAAAGCCAAAUUAAUACUUGUUUUGGAUUGAAAAAGGUAUGAGAAACAUAUAAUGGGGAGGGGCUAUAGUAAGUAGUAUUUAAGUGCCAAAAUGUGAAUUAUCCUAACGCUGUUUUAGUUUUAGGCAAAGUCAGAACAGUUUAAAUAACAACAGUUUUAAAAGAAUGUAAUAUAUGAUAAGGGAAAAGUUAGAAUUUACCAAGACCUGUACUUUAAAUUGCCAUUAUAGGCAAACCUCAGAGAUAUUGUGGGUUCAUUCCAGACCGCUGCAAUAAAUUGAAUAUCACAAUAAAGAGAGUCACACUAAUUUUUUAGUUUCCCAGUGCAUAUAGAAGUUAUUUUUAUACUAUAUUGUAGUCUAUUAAGUAUGCUAAAUAGUAUUAUAUCUAAAAAGGCAUACAUACCUUAAUUUAAAAAUACUUUAUUGCAAAAAGAAAAAUGCUAACCAUCAUCUGAGCCUUCAGCGAGUCAUAAUCUUCUUGCAGUAAUAACAUGCAGGAUCCCAGAUCACCAUAAUAAAUAUAACAAUAAUGAAAAAGUUUGAAAUAUUGUAAGAAUUACCAAAAUGUGACACAGAGACACAAAGUGAGUAAAUGCCCAUGGGGAAGUGUUGCUGAUAGACUUACUUGACACAAGGUUGCUUCAAACCUUCAAUUUGUUAAAAACAUAGUAUCUACAAAACAAUAAAGUGAAGUGCAAUAAAAUGAGGAAUGCCUGGUUCAGCCUUCCAGUUUAACUCUACCUGCCGCAAACCCAACGUUAGCACAUUUGGGAGCUGAAAAGAACAUCUGUGUGAGCUAAAGUUCCCAGGAGCAAACGUCUGUUUCUAAAACAACUCAAAGCAAGACGCUCUUAUGCAAUUACAGAAAUCAGUUGCGGUUUUUUAGAGGUCGCCAUUGCAACUCUUGGUCUAGUUGGGCUCAUUAAAUGAAUGGGCUCAUCUGAGCAAGUAGAGAAUGUGUUUCCUCUGCAGAAAUACAGUCGUAGCUUUGGUGAAAAGACUCAUGAAUGUCAACUGUCAUUGACACUUGAGAAAUUAAAUUGGUCAAGUGGUUCUCUUAAAUUGACAUGGUACUAUGAAUAUUGGGCAUGGGUAGUUUGGCCUGCUUUUGAGCUACAUAAAAAUGGAAUCGUACAAAAUGUACUUUUUUUUGUCUGCCUUCUCACAUAGAUUGUAAUAACAUGAGGUAGGAAUCAAGAUUAACUGAGCACUAUUUAUUAGAUCAUUCUUUCUCUCAACACUAUACUGUAAUCUUUGUCAUAAAUCAAGUAAUUGUAUAUGUGUGGGUCUGUUUCUGGAAUUGUUCCAUUGGUAUAGUUUUCUUGUGCCAACAUUUAACUGUCUUAAUUACUGUAGCUUUACAUUAAACCUUGACAUCUGGUUGUGUAUUCUCCCUUAGCUAUAUUCUUCAAGAUAUUGGCCACUCUUAAUCUGUGUAUACACUUUAGAAUCAUCCCAUCAAUUCUAAAAAAAAGUGAAAAAAAACUUGCUUGGAUUUUUAUUGGGAUUGUAUUGAUUCUAUAGGUCAAUUUGGAGGAAAACUGAUGUCUUUAUCAUUUAGGAAUAUGGUGUUUCUUUCCAUUUACUUAAGCAUUCUUUAAUCUCAAUAAUGUUUUGUAGUUUUCUAGAUAAAGGUUUUGGCCAUCUUUUGUUAAAUUUAUUCAUAUUUGAUUUUUUAUGCUACUAUAAAUGGUACUUUUAAAACUA